UCUCACCUGUCUAUACAGAUAGAUCGGUC
rnacentral:piRNA from 1 species